CCUUCCCCGACCUCCCUUCCUUCUCCGAUCUCCCUCGCAGACGAGCGACGCCGAUGAGAGUGAGGCUCUAGCUCCGGCGAUCUCCCUCUGUAGUCAUCGACCCUCAAGCUCAAAUCCAGCCGAAGCUUUUCUUCUCGCUCUGAUCUCUCUGUUCUUCACGGGGACGAACCGACACCGACGAUCGCCGGAGUAGAUCUAUUGCCAGGGCAUCAAGGGUGAGCUAUCUUGUUCUUCCUUGAUUUCCCGUGAGCCUCAGCGCCAAAUCUUCCCUUGAUUCCUCCUCUUCCUUUGGUGGCGUUGUGCCCUAGCGGGAUCUUGAAGCCACCUCAACUCUGUUGGGGAUUGUUUUCUCCAUCGAAGCUGUGAUCCUCUCCGGUGAUUGAAGUCUCGGUGAAGAGGUGUAGUGUUUGAGGUGAUGCAUGACAGGUGUUUGAUGAAAUGCUUUGUGCUCUUGUCUCCUUUGUUUGUGCCGGUGUCGCCCUAUCCUCUGCCCUAGCUCAUUGCCGCAGCGACAACCUGAUUCCAUCUAGGAGAGAUCUUGGAUAUGGUAUACGGUGUUGCUCCGAUGAGGAUUAAAUAUGGGAGGUUAGCUGAUCAGAGAUAGAGUUUCAGUGUAGGGAUCUAUUUGAGGUGA